GGACGAACGCUGGCGGCGUGCUUAACACAUGCAAGUCGAACGGUAAGGCCCUUCGGGGUACACGAGUGGCGAACGGGUGAGUAACACGUGGGUGAUCUGCCCUGCACUUCGGGAUAGCCUGGGAAACUGGGUCUAAUACCGGAUAGGACCAUGGACUUCACGGUUUGUGGUGGAAAGCUUUUGCGGUGUGGGAUGGGCCCGCGGCCUAUCAGCUUGUUGGUGGGGUAAUGGCCUACCAAGGCGACGACGGGUAGCCGGCCUGAGAGGGUGUCCGGCCACACUGGGACUGAGAUACGGCCCAGACUCCUACGGGAGGCAGCAGUGGGGAAUAUUGCACAAUGGGCGCAAGCCUGAUGCAGCGACGCCGCGUGAGGGAUGACGGCCUUCGGGUUGUAAACCUCUUUCAAUAGGGACGAAGCGCAAGUGACGGUACCUAUAGAAGAAGCACCGGCCAACUACGUG
rnacentral:rRNA from 1 species